GAUGAACGCUGGCGGCGUGCCUAAUACAUGCAAGUCGAGCGAACGGACGCGAAGCUUGCUUCCCUGAUGUUAGCGGCGGACGGGUGAGUAAGACGUGGAUAACCCACCUAUAAGACUUGGCUCACUUCGGGAGACCGUAGCUAAUAAUGGAUAAUAUUUUGAACCGCAUGGUUCAUAAGUGAUAGCAGGGCUUGCUGUCACUUAUAGUAGGAUCCGCGCUGCAUUAGCUAGUUGGGAAGGUAACGGCUUACCAAGGCAACGAUGCAUAGCCGACCUGAGAGGGUGAUCGGCCACACUGGAACUGAGACACGGUCCAGACUCCUACGGGAGGCAGCAGUAGGGAAUCUUCCGCAAUGGGCGAAAGCCUGACGGAGCAACGCCGCGUGAGUGAUGAAGGUCUUCGGAUCGUAAAACUCUGUUAUUAGGGAAGAACAUAUGUGUAAGUAACUGUGCACAUCUUGACGGUACCUAAACAGAAAGCCACGGCUAACUACGUG
rnacentral:rRNA from 1 species